GACGAACGCUGGCGGCGUGCCUAAUACAUGCAAGUUGAGCGCUGAAGGUUGGUACUUGUACCAACUGGAUGAGCAGCGAACGGGUGAGUAACGCGUGGGGAAUCUGCCUUUGAGCGGGGGACAACAUUUGGAAACGAAUGCUAAUACCGCAUAAAAACUUUAAACACAAGUUUUAAGUUUGAAAGAUGCAAUUGCAUCACUCAAAGAUGAUCCCGCGUUGUAUUAGCUAGUUGGUGAGGUAAAGGCUCACCAAGGCGAUGAUACAUAGCCGACCUGAGAGGGUGAUCGGCCACAUUGGGACUGAGACACGGCCCAAACUCCUACGGGAGGCAGCAGUAGGGAAUCUUCGGCAAUGGACGAAAGUCUGACCGAGCAACGCCGCGGGAGUGAAGAAGGUUUUCGGAUCGUAAAACUCGGUUGGUAGAGAAGAACGUUGGUGAGAGUGGAAAGCUCAUCAAGUGACGGUAACUACCCAGAAAAGGACGGCUAACUACGUG
rnacentral:rRNA from 1 species